CGGGUGAGUAACGCGUGGGUAACCUGCCUUAUACAGGGGGAUAACAGUCAGAAAUGGCUGCUAAUACCGCAUAAGCGCACAGAGCUGCAUGGCUCAGUGUGAAGAACUCCGGUGGUAUAAGAUGGACCCGCGUUGGAUUAGCUUGUUGGCGGGGUAACGGCCCACCAAGGCGACGAUCCAUAGCCGGCCUGAGAGGGUGAACGGCCACAUUGGGACUGAGACACGGCCCAAACUCCUACGGGAGGCAGCAUG
rnacentral:rRNA from 1 species